AUUUGAAAAGAUUUUGCAGAAUAUUCCAAUAUUGCUGUCAUUCCUUUUUGAACCAGGCAGAAAUGAAUGAUGCCAGACGGUUCUUACUUUUCCGUUCUAAUCCUCAAGACAAUCAACAUGUUUUCUUUGGGUAUCAUAGUCUGAAUUGACUUACUGAUGGUUUAUUUCUGCAUGGGAGGCCAGCCGUAUCUUACCAUUGAUGGAAUUAGGUUUAAAUCAGAACCCAGCAAAUAUUCCUAAGCUUCGACUUACAGCCUACGGCCAUACCAGUCUGAAAGUGCCUGAUCUUGUCACAUCUCAGAAGCCAUCCAGACUCGGGCCUGGUUAGGACUUCUAUGGGAAACCAACUAGGAUCCUCAGG